CCUACGGGAGACAGCAGUGGGGAAUAUUGCACAAUGGGGGAAACCCUGAUGCAGCGACGCCGCGUGAGUGAAGAAGGAUUUCGGUAUGUAAAGCUCUAUCAGCCGGGAAGAAAAUGACGGUACCUGAUUAAGAAGCCCCGGCUAACUACGUGCCAGCAGCCGCGGUAAUACGUAGGGGGCAAGCGUUAUCCGGAUUUACUGGGUGUAAAGGGAGCGUAGACGGCAGAACAAGUCUGGUGUGAAAUGCCGGGGCUUAACCCCGGAACUGCUUUUGAAACUGUGCAGCUAGAGUGCAGGAGAGGUAUGUGGAAUGCGUGGUGUAGCGGUGAAAUGCGUAGAUAUUAGGAGGAACACCAGUGGCGAAGGCGGCUUACUGGACUGUAACUGACGUUGAGGCUCGAAAGCGUGGGGAGCGAACAGGAUUAGAUACCCCGGUAGUC
rnacentral:rRNA from 1 species